rnacentral:rRNA from 1 species
GAUGAACGCUGGCGGCGUGCCUAAUACAUGCAAGUCGAGCGAACGGACGAGAAGCUUGCUUCUCGGAUGUUAGCGGCGGACGGGUGAGUAAUACGUGGAUAACCUACCUAUAAGACUGGGAUAACUUCGGGAAACCGGAGCUAAUACCGGAUACUAUUUGUAACCGCAUGGUUCAAUAUUGAAAGACGGUUUUGCUGUCACUUAUAGAUGGAUCCGCGCUGCAUUAGCUAGUUGGUAAGGUAACGGCUUACCAAGGCAACGAUGCAUAGCCGACCUGAGAGGGUGAUAGCCCACACUGGAACUGAGACAGGGUCCAGACUCCUACGGGAGGCAGCAGUAGGGAAUCUUCCGCAGUGGUCGAAAGCAUGACGGAGCAACGCGGCGUGAGUGAUGAAGGUCUUCGGAGCGUAAAACUCUGCUAUUAGGGAAGAACAUAUGUGUAAGUAAAUGUGCACAUCUUGACGGUACCUAAUCAGAAAGCCACGGCUAACUACGUG